CAGCCGCCGCGGUAAUACGAGGGGAGCUAGCGUUAUUCGGAAUUACUGGGCGUAAAGCGCACGUAGGCGGCUUUGUAAGUUAGAGGUGAAAGCCCAGAGCUCAACUCUGGAAUUGCCUUUAAGACUGCAUCGCUUGAACCCAGGAGAGGUGAGUGGAAUUCCGAGUGUAGAGGUGAAAUUCGUAGAUAUUCGGAAGAACACCAGUGGCGAAGGCGGCUCACUGGACUGGUAUUGACGCUGAGGUGCGAAAGCGUGGGGAGCAAACAGGAUUAGAUACCCCAGUAGUCCCUGUCUCUUAUAC
rnacentral:rRNA from 1 species